rnacentral:rRNA from 1 species
AGGAAGCAUUUAUUAGAUAAAAAGCCAAUGCAUGCUUUUACAGUAUGAAAAUUGGUGAUUUAUAAUAACUUAGCAAAUCGUAAAGUGAAAACAGACGAUAAAUCAUUCAAGUUUCUGACCUAUCAGCUUUCGACGGUAUGGUAUUGGCUUACCGUGGCAGUGACGGUUAACGGGGGAUUAGGGUUCGAUUCCGGAGAGGGAGCCUGAGAAACGGCUACCACAUCUAAGGAAGGCAGCAGGCGCGCAAAUUACCCAAUUCUAACAGUUUGAGAGAGGUAGUAACAAGAAAUAACAAUACAAGGCAGUUAAAAUGCUUUGUAAUUGGAAUGAUAGAAAUUUAAACCCUUUUUAAAGUAUCAAUUGGAGGGCAAGUCUGGUGCCAGCAGCCGCGGUAAUUCCAGCUCCAAUAGCGUAUAUUAAAAUUGUUGCAGUUAAAAAGCUCGUAGUUGAAGUUCUGCUAAAAGUAACCGGUCUGCUUUUAAUAAAAGUGGUAUCUUGGUAUGUAUUUAGCAAUGAUGUCCUUUGAAGUGUUUUUUACUUUAUUGUAAUAAAGCAUAUUCAGGACUUUUACUUUGAGAAAAUUAGAGUGUUUCUAGCAGGCCGACGCUUUGAAUACUGCAGCAUGGAAUAAUAAGA